UGGGGAAUAUUGGACAAUGGGCGCAAGCCUGAUCCAGCCAUGCCGCGUGAGUGAUGACGGCCUUAGGGUUGUAAAGCUCUUCCACCCACGACGAUAAUGACGGUAGUGGGAGAAGAAGCCCCGGCUAACUUCGUGCCAGCAGCCGCGGUAAUACGAAGGGGGCUAGCGUUGUUCGGAAUCACUGGGCGUAAAGCGUACGUAGGCGGAUCGUUAAGUCAGAGGUGAAAUCCCGGAGCUCAACUUCGGAAUUGCCUUUGAUACUGGCGAUCUUGAGUUCGGGAGAGGUGAGUGGAACUGCUAGUGUAGAGGUGAAAUUCGUAGAUAUUAGCAAGAACACCAGUGGCGAAGGCGGCUCACUGGCCCGAUACUGACGCUGAGGUACGAAAGCGUGGGGAGCAAACA
rnacentral:rRNA from 1 species